UCCCGGUUGGCCCGGGCAGUCCCGCCUGAAAAAUCCAACAGACGGCAAGGGUUGCGCUCGUUGCGGGACUUAACCCAACAUCUCACGACACGAGCUGACGACGGCCAUGCAACACCUGUCACCGCGCUCCAAAAGGCACUUCCCUGUUUCCAGGGAAUUCGCGGGAUGUCAAACCUUGGUAAGGUUCUUCGCGUAGCGUCGAAUUAAACCUCAUGAUCCACUGCUUGUGCGGCUCCCCGUCAAUUCCUUUGAGUUUUAAGCUUGCGCUCGUACUCCCCAGGCGGGAUGCUUAACGCGUUAGCUUCUCAGCCCAGGGGGUCGAUACCCCGAACUAAUAGCAUCCAUCGUUUACGGCGUGGACUAC
rnacentral:misc_RNA from 1 species